UAUAAGAGACAGCAGUAGCCGCGGGAAUACAGAGGGUGCGAGCGUUAAUCGGAUUUACUGGGCGUAAAGCGUGCGUAGGCGGCUAAUUGAGUCGGAUGUGAAAUCCCCGAGCUUAACUUAGGAAUUGCAUUCGAUACUGGGAAGCUAGAGUAUGGGAGAGGAUGGUAGAAUUCCAGGUGUAGCGGUGAAAUGCGUAGAGAUCUGGAGGAAUACCGAUGGCGAAGGCAGCCAUCUGGCCUAAUACUGACGCUGAGGUACGAAAGCAUGGGGAGCAAACAGGAUUAGAUACCCCCCGUAGUCCCUGUCUCUUAUA
rnacentral:rRNA from 1 species